rnacentral:rRNA from 1 species
AACGAACGCUGGCGGCAUGCCUAACACAUGCAAGUCGAACGAAGUCUUCGGACUUAGUGGCGCACGGGUGCGUAACGCGUGGGAAUCUGCCCUUGGGUACGGAAUAACUCAGAGAAAUUUGUGCUAAUACCGUAUAAUGUCUUCGGACCAAAGAUUUAUCGCCCAAGGAUGAGCCCGCGUAAGAUUAGCUAGUUGGUGGGGUAAAAGCCUACCAAGGCGACGAUCUUUAGCUGGUCUGAGAGGAUGAUCAGCCACACUGGGACUGAGACACGGCCCAGACUCCUACGGGGGGCAGCAGUGGGGAAUAUUGGACAAUGGGCGAAAGCCUGAUCCAGCAAUGCCGCGUGAGUGAUGAAGGCCCUAGGGUUGUAAAGCUCUUUUACCAGGGAUGAUAAUGACAGUACCUGGAGAAUAAGCUCCGGCUAACUCCGUG